ACACGUCUACAUUAGAUACCCGCGUAGUCCUAGCCGUAAACGAUACUCGCUAGGUGUCGGCCACGGUGCGACCGUUGUCGGUGCCGUAGGGAAGCCGUGAAGCGAGCCACCUGGGAAGUACGGCCGCAAGGCUGUAAAUUUAAAGGAAUUGGCGGGGGAGCACAACAACGGGUGGAGCUUGCGGUUUAAUUGGAUUCAACGCCGGAAAUCUUACCGGGACCGACAGCAACAUGAAGGCCAAGCUGAAGACUUUGCCGGAUUAGCUG
rnacentral:rRNA from 1 species